AGAGGUUGUAGCCAGCCAAGAUCGUGCCAUUGCACUCCAUCCUGGAUCCUGGGCAACAGAACGAGACUCUGUCUCAAAAACAAAACCAAAAAAACCAAAACACAAAAAAACUCCAUUGUUCUGAGACUUUCCCUAAAUUAUGUGAAGGCACUCACAUUGAAUUGGUAGGACAUGUGUAUGGAGGAGAAUAGUGUAUAUAUAUAUCAGCAGUAGAGUUCCAGUCCAAGUUGCUCUAACGCGUUAGAAAUACAUUACCCUCCCAUCCCCCAAGUCCAGCAAAUUAGAAGAGAAUCUCUGAAGUUUGUAGGAAGGGAAUAAAUCUACUAUAAACAUUUGUGUGCAGGGUUUUGUGUAGACUUGUUUUCAACUCCUUUGGAUAAAUACCAAGGAACCAGGUUGCUGGAUUGUAAGUUAAGAGUAUGUUUCGUUUUGGAAGAAACUGCCAAACUCUCUUCCAACAUGACCAUUUUGAAUUCCCAUUGACAAUGAAGGAGAGUUCUGUAGCUCCUCAUCCUCACUAGUAUUUGGUGAUGUCACUCUUUCGCAUUUUAGCUAAUAGGUGAAUAGUGGUCUCAUUGUUUUAAUUCCCAAUCCCAUAGUGAUGUGGAACAUCUUUUCAUAUACUUAACCUGCCAUCCGUAUAUAUCAUCUUUGGUGAGGUGUCUGGGUUUUUUGCCCAGUUUUUUAGUUGGAGUGGUUUUCUUAUUUUUAGAAAGGAAGUAUAGGAAGGAAGGUUUAAUCUGUCUUAAGCCUGAUGAUAUGAAAACCAAGAAUAGGCUAGGUGUGGUGGCUCACACCUGUAAUUCCGGCACUUUGUGAGGCUGAAGUGGGAGGACUGCUUGAGCCUGGGAGGUCAAGGCUGCAGUGAGCCGUGACUGCGUUGCUGCACUCCCGCCUGAGUGACAGAGUGAGACCCUGUCUCAGAAAAAUAGGCUCAUUUUAAAGUUGUUUAUAUUUUAUUUUUUGAAGGCAAUAAACUUGAAGAGAUACAAAGGGUAUGUAGUGAAGAUUCUCCUUCCCGUCCUGUAAUUCAGCUGUUUAGUUUCUAUUCUCGCACAGCCCUGUCAUCAGUUUCUAGUGUAAGCUUCCUGUGACUUUUACUUUAUUUAUAAGCAAGUGUUAAUGGAUGUUUUCAUUUCUUUUUAAAAUGUAAAUUAUACUAUAUGUGCUAUUUUAUAUUUUGGCUUUUUUCCCACCUAAAUACCCUAAAGAUGAUUUUCUGUCGGUAUAUAAAAUCCUGGUGAUGCCAAUGCCCAUCCCUUAGAUUCUACAAGUAGCAUUUGCCAUGCUUUAUCACAUAGCCUGCCUCCUGCAGUCUCAUCUUUUCUUCUAUAUGCGUGUCCAAGUAAGUUGUAGACAUUUUUCACUUUUAAUCCUUUCAGCAUACAUGUCAUGGGAGUUUGUUUUUGUUUUUGUUUUUUGUGUUUGAGACAGAGUCUCUCUGUCACCCAGGCUGGAGUACAGUGACAUGAUCUCAGCUUAUUACAAUCUCCACCUCCCAGUUUCAAGCAAUUCUCGUGCCGCAGAUUCCCGAGUAGCUGGGGUUACAGACGUGCACCACCACGCCCGGCUAAUUUUUGUAUUUUCAGUAGAGAUGGGGUUUCACCAUGUUGGCCAGGCUCGUCUGGAACUCCUGGCCUCCAGUGAUUUGCCUGCCUCAGCCUCCCAGAGUGCUGGGAUCACAGGCAUCAGCCACCACACCAGCCGUCAUUGGAGUUUUUUUGAGGGAGAUUUGCAGUAAGAUGAAUAAAUGCUAAGUGUAUCAUUUGAUGAGUUUUUUUUUUUUUUUUUUUUUUGGGAUGGAGCCUUAUAUCGUCCAGGCUAGAGUACAGUGGCCUAGUCUUGGCUCACUGCAACCUCUGCCUCCUGGGUUCAAAGGAUUCUUCCGCCUCAGCCUCCUGAGUAGCUGGGAUUACAGGUGUGAGCCACCAUACCCAGACUCAUUUGAUGAGUUUUGAUGUAAAAGCAUGUAACUCAAACCCCUAAGUUUGGAACAUUUGUAUUACAUCUGAAUUUUUUUUUCACCUAGUCAAUUCCUGCACCUCUCCUGCCCUUUCUUCCCUCGCCUGGCAGUCAGCUACUGUUAAGAUUUUGUUCACUGUAGAUUAAUUUUGCCUAUUCUAGAACUUCAUAUAAUGGACUCACUUAUGCAGUAUGUAUUCUGUAAGUUCCUUUUACUCAGCAUGUUUGUAUAUUCAUCAGUGUGUUUAAGCUUUGUUCCUUUUUAUGGCUGAGCAGUAUUCUAUGUAUGAAUAUGCCACAUUUUAAUGUUUCACCUGUUAGGUGAACAACUGGUGAACAAUGAGCUGUUUCUAGUUUGGGACUAUCAUGAAUAAAGUUGGUAUGAACAUGUACAAC